CACGUAGGGGGCGAGCGUUGUCCGGAAUCAUUGGGCGUAAAGAGCUCGUAGGCGGCUCGGUAAGUCGGGUGUGAAACCCCCAGGCUCAACCUGGGGACCGCCACCCGAUACUGCUGUGGCUAGAGUCCAGUAGGGGAGUGUGGAAUUCCCGGUGUGAGCGGUGGAAAUGCGCAGAGUAUACGGGCGAGGAACACCGGUGGCGAAGGCGCCACU
rnacentral:rRNA from 1 species